CCUGAGUGCUGGGAUUAAAGGUAUACACCACCACUGCCACACAGGAUUACCAUCCUUUAAACUGUUUGUGUCUUUACAUUUGAAGCAAUUGCAUUAAGUUUUUACAUCUAACUUCAGGUUGUCUUAGUGGGGUUAUUUGUGAAAUCUACAAACAGAUUGACAGCAGUUGAUCACAAAAGCAAUUGCAGUGGGAUGAUCUUUUGAUAUUGGGACAAUAUUUCCUAUAAAACUGGGUUUGCAGUUUUAACCAAAUACAUUCCCAAAUGGAUUAUGGGGGGGGGGGGAUGAAUAAAACAAGUAAAAGGGCUGGGGAGACGGCUCAGUCAGCAGAGCUGUAACAAGCCAAAUAUGGUGUCUGACCUCCAGUGUCAACAAUGUAGGCACCACGCCUGCCUUGUAUAGUAGUACGGUUCCCCAGCACAACCCAGUCAAGAGGGCGCAUUUGCAUUUGGUUCGUCCUAGCCCCUUCAGUCCCCUCUGAGCCUGUCUACGCUACAACCAAUGAGAUAGCCUUUUCCUUAAGGAUGUCACUUUCUCCCUCUUCUCUGCUUGUUGGCUGCAUUUCUACUUCUCAGGAAAUAUGUAAUUCUUCACCGUCAAGCCUCAAGCUUCCCAGCUCUCAGACUGAGGCAGAUGCUACCAUAUGUCUAACAAUGAGCUCUCCAUUUUUUCCUCAAAUAGAGUCCAAAAGACAGACACUCUGUUGCAGAAACAGAACUUGGUAACCAGUUUAGGGGUCCAGUGUUUCUAUUCUGAAUAGAAAAAUAAAAUCUUACAAAUAAACAAAACUCCAAAAUAGGAAUAGGAAAGGAAUCCAUAAGAAUGGACUUGGUUCCCCUACUUUAUUUCUAACCCUGAUGUCCUCAAAACUCAAGGCAGUUCACCCUGGGUUUUUUCCUUUGUGACUUUCUGCCUUCUGUUGCCCGGCAGUUGCUAAUGCUCUAGGAAGUACUUACACUUAGCAAAAACUCCCAGCUUCCUAAUGCAUGUUAGAGCUAGUGAAAGCCAUUCAUGUAGUCUUACCUUUGAUGGGCUGUCGCUGAAGUAGUAAAAAAUCUUCUCUCGCGGAGAAAGCAUGGCUUCGUUUUUAUGUGGGGAAAUGUAGAUAGGAUGAUUUUGAGAUAACUGUAUUCGGCGAGGGGAGCCUGUUCUUACAAAUGGAUAGGGAGAGAGGGGAGGAGUGUCCAUCUGUUGAAAAUAAAAUAGUAAUUCUGAGAAAAAACCUUCUCUAGCCAAGUUGUAUUAAAAGUCAUCUAUUUUAUGGAAUGAAAAGGCAUAAUAAAGCAGAAGCUGACCAGCAGUGGAUCAGCAACAACAAAAGAAACUUAUAACAGCUAACACCUAUGGGGCUUGGUUUCUGCCAGUUCCUCUGUUGAGCAUUUUAAUACAUCAUUUAAGCCUUACAACAACCAGAUAAACUAUUAACUACUAGUCUCUUAAUAUAUGAGGUGACAGAAAGCAGAGUUUAGUAAUUUGCAAGGCCAUCGCUGUUAAAUCCUGCACAAUCUAAGCCCAUGUGGUUGCUGUCUCCUGUUCUACUAGAUGUAGAGAAUGCUACACAUUCUUAUUCAUACUACUGAGCAUCAGCAGAAAUUAUGUUGAUUAGGCAAGGUACUUGGGUUGGAGACUUCCUUAGUUUUAUUUAAUGAAAGAAUUAUCUGUUUAUAGUUUGUGAUGGAAAAGGUCAAACGAAUGAUUCCUCCCCCUCAAGAGUAAAGCAGCAUCCAGUGGUCCCUGAUGCACUUACGUUUGCCUACCUAAGCUUUACUUUCAGCCCUGAGAGAAAACAUGGUUACCUGGCUCCGGGCCUGUGGCUGAGUCCUGUAACAACGCAUGAUAUUCUGGAAGGAUCUGUCUUCUUUUGUGACCUACAAACAGUGAGAAUACUUAGAGAGAUCCACAUCAGGCAUGACAGUGAACAGCUCAGUGAACCUGUUGCCACUAUAUUCAGAGACUCUGUAGAACAAAUGAACAGCCAUCUAUUCAUGAAAACCUCAAAUUUAGUGUGCAGCCUGGUAUGGAACCACAGCCUGGUAUAGAAAAAUACAGUAACUAAAAUGAGAAGUUGACUAGAAGUGGAAGUUGGUAGAUCUGAACUGGAAAAGAAAAAAAAAAAAAAA